AGUGAACGCUGGCGGUAGGCCUAACACAUGCAAGUCGAACGGCAGCACAGUAAGAGCUUGCUCUUACGGGUGGCGAGUGGCGGACGGGUGAGGAAUACAUCGGAAUCUACUUUUUCGUGGGGGAUAACGUAGGGAAACUUACGCUAAUACCGCAUACGACCUACGGGUGAAAGCAGGGGAUCUUCGGACCUUGCGCGAUUGAAUGAGCCGAUGUCGGAUUAGCUAGUUGGCGGGGUAAAGGCCCACCAAGGCGACGAUCCGUAGCUGGUCUGAGAGGAUGAUCAGCCACACUGGAGCUGAGACACCGUCCAGACUCCUACGGGAGGCAGCAGUGGGGAAUAUUGGACAAUGGGCGCAAGCCUGAUCCAGCCAGACCGCGUGGGUGAAGAAGGCCUUCGGGUUGUAAAGCCCUUUUGUUGGGAAAGAAAAGCAGCAGGUUAAUACCCCGCUGUUCUGACGGUACCCAAAGAAUAAGCACCGGCUAACUUCGUG
rnacentral:rRNA from 1 species